UUUCAUCUAUCUGAAGUCAGACACUUGUUGAUCUGCUACUCUCAGGUUGUUUCAGCAUGGACGCUAAUUUCAGGGUUCUGUGGGAUAAAGAAAACAAAAUCAUUUUGCUUCCCUUUUUUCAGGGCUCUCGCCUAUUCUUCAGAAGCCGUUAAGGUGCCUUCCCUGUGAUUUAGAGAAUUGACCACAAGAGAAGACUCCCUUUCAAACUCUUCAUUCUCUGGUUCAGAGGUUUGAUGUAAUGGUUGUCUCAUCGUACAUGGUCAGCCACAGGAUAUACUUCAUCCAUUUCAGAGCUGUACUCCUGAGUUCCAUGCUAUAAUCAGAAAUAUGUGGCACAUUUUGAACAAAGGAAAUAUAUACCCAACAAAGUGUUAAAAUGGAGCUGCCAACCAGACAAACCCUAGAAAUAUGUAGCCACUUACAGGCAGAACACAACUACAUGUGUUCCCAAUGUGGAAGGCAUUCCGGAAGUGUAUGCAUCCACAUUUCUACAUGAGGCAUCGCCUAUGCAGGCAAUCAAAGGAUGUUGAUGGAUAAGUGUUUCAGGCAGAAUAAUGGCCCUCAAAGAUGUUGACACCAGAAUCUUCAGAACCUUUGCAUAUGUUACCUAACAUGACAAAAGGGACUUUGCUGAUGUGAUUAAGGUUAAGAACUUUGAGAAGGGAAGAUUAUCCUGGAUUAUACAGGUCGACGUUUAUUUCUUUCUGAACUUUCCUGGAGGAUCAUCGGCCAUACUCCAGCAGAAGGGUGGAUUUGAAAAAAUAACGUUUCCACGGCAACAGUGGCAGCAAUUCAAAUUUGACUUGGGGAAGAAGAAGAAAAGAAGGUGGAUUUCAGCAUGAAAGAAUCUAAACAGUCAUUAGUGAACAAAUGUGUAGCAGUGCUGUCCAACAGAACUUUCUGAAGAAGUAAUGGGAAUACUCUGUAUCUGUGAUGUCCUGUAUGGUAGCCACUGGCCUCACACAGCUCUUGAGCACUUGAAAUGUGGCUACUGUGACUGAGUAAUUGAGUUUUAAAAUUUCAUCAAUUUUAAUUAAUUGAAAUUUAAAUAGCCACAUGAGGCCAGUGACUACAGAAUUGAACAGCACAGGUCUCACAGAUGGACUAAGAGUAAGCCAGUUACGAAGAAGCUUAUACAGGAAGACCGGCUAAAAUAUGUCAAAGGAGAGUUUCUCUUUCUGAACUCCGAGGAGCUGUUCAAAUAAGACUGGUCUGGAGAGAGUUUUGGGUGGCUGGAGGUAUUUUCACCCCUCCACUUACUGUGCCUAACCUUAGUAUUGUUGCCAUUCUCACGUUUCUGUAUGACUCCAUCUCCCUUGUUCUGUUCCGAUGCCGCUUUUUCAGUUUUUCUGAGCUCUCAAUUAAACACAGUGAAAUGAAUCUCCUCCAAGUGCCUUUUUAGUGACUAAACUGAAUAGUUGGCUCAGAAUGCUACAAAGUCCUCUCCCUCAGGAAGAACCAAGUUUUACCAUUAAGAUCCUGAUAGAUUUACCAGCUUUAACUGACACCUCUUGGGGUGGCUUCCAGAUUCACACUUUCUCCUUUUUGAGAAGACUCCCAGACACACGGGGAUAGGUCCUGAGUGAUCAUAUUUGAGCCACACAAUCUUGUUACGCUUGCUGUAGAUCCAUGGUUCAAAAACAUUCAAGUGUGUCUGACUCAGCUGGAGGACUUGUGAAGACACAUGUGGUGGGACCCAUCCCUAAAGCUUCUUUUCCAGUAGGUGUGUAGGUGUGGCCCAAGUAUCUGCAUAUCUAACAAGUUCUCAGGUGAUACUGAUGUUGCUGGUCUGGGGAUUGUACUUUAAGAUAAUUAAGUCAGGGACUGUUGCCUGACAUAGGACAAUAAGCUUCUCUCAGGAAUUUGAAAUUUGGAACAAAGAGCUCGGAGUCUUAGUGCUAGUAGACCAGUGCUCUGGAGAGGUCUGAAAACUACCACUGCUUAGGUUCCUAGUUUGUCCAGUUCCUGUUUGUCUUGAGCCUUGGUUGUCUAAUCCUUUGAAUAAAUCCCAUUACAUUCUUUGUUUUGCAUAAACUGGCCAUAGAAAGUUCUUGUUGUCUGCCC
rnacentral:lncRNA from 1 species